ensembl:lncRNA
GCUCCAAAGAAGCCACAUCCUGGAAGGUCCUGUAAUCCUGGCGGAUUCUUCACUGGUCCUGUCCUAUAGCCCAGGAAAGAGCUUGGACAAAGCCACUGCAAUGAUUUCUUAGUGAAGACCAGAAAAUCCUUCUUCUUCAGCUUCUCAAAUGCAUCUGAGGGCCUCUGUGUGUACUUCUAGGACAGAAUUCUGUGAAGCUCAGCGAGUAUUUGUCAUGUGGAUGGGCCCUGCAUGAGAGGUGUACAGCACUGGGAAAGUGAAAUAGAAAGAACUAUAUGACAAAGGAGUUCUGACACGGUCUUUCCAAGACAGGUGCCCAUCAUUCCACAGUGUUCCUCAUUGGGGAACACAGGCUAUCUGGCUGUGCAGCUUCGGUGUGCUGAGGUCUGCACACAGUUCAGUCACCUGUCCUCAAUCACAUGGAGAAUUGAGGUUCCCAAUGCCAGGGCAGCUGCUCUCUGGACAUCGUUCUUCCUGAUGGAUUUACUGACCCCCAGGCAGCCUCACUGGGUUUCUCUGGUGGCUCAAACUGGAAAGAAUCUGCCUGCAAUACAGGAGACCUGGGUUCGAUCGCUGGGUCAGGAAGAUCCCCUGGAGAAGGGAAUGGCAACCCACUCCAGGAUUGUUGCUUGGUGAAUCCCAUGGACAGAGGAGCUGUGGACUACAGUCCAUGGGGUCACAAAGAGUGGGACAUGACUGAGCCUCCCUCAGGCAGCCUCAUUACUUUUUGGUGACACACUUUGAGCUUUCCACCAACCAUUGUGGCUGGAGGUCAUCCAUGCCUUUCUACCAGACUCUAGCUCUGUAAGCUUUGAAGGUGGACACUUGCUCUCCCUGGAUCUUCUCCAAAUGCUCCAGGGCCUGCUGGUGUUCGUUCUGGACCUCUCAUCCCCUGGCAAGCAUUCGCUUCAUCCAUCAAAAAAAAUCCGGGAUAGCAGAGCACCCUGAGGACUUGCUUUAACAAUGUCUGUGUUGGUCUUUGCCAGCUUUGUGCUGUUAUUUGGCUAUGCACGUUAGUAAGGAUGGUCCAAACCCAAAUCUGAUCAUGCCUGAGAGAUGAAGAUGAAUCUCUCCCAUAUAAUUUUUCACCUUUGCCCCCACCCCAUGUGUCCUGGAGGCUUUGGAGUCAGAGGGUUUGUUCAUUCUUGGCUGGAACUAGGAGGGCCCUUGUACAGAUGCAGCUGGUGAGUCUAACUUGGUCUUGAACUCCGACACCCCACAUCCCCACCAUUAUUCUUCUGUCCUGGACUUGGGGGGCAGCUCUUUGUGGGCUAAAUUCAGGCCAGUGGCAGGGACCAGGUGACAUUUCUUUUCAGGCUGGAAAAGCCUUGUCUUAACUGACAAAGUACCCGUGUUUGCCAAAGCCUUAGGCAUGAAAAUGGAUGCUAAUUUAUUCUCCCCAGCCUCAAAGGCAAGGACAGUCUCUUGCAUCCAGAAAGUUUCCCUGAUGCCAGUACUCCUGGCCACGUCUCUCCAUAAAUACAGUCAUUAGUGGCAUCUUAAAAAAUGGUGAUGACU